rnacentral:rRNA from 1 species
AUUGAACGCUGGCGGAAUGCUUUACACAUGCAAGUCGAACGGGAGUAGCAAUACUCUAGUGGCGAACGGGUGAGUAACACAUCGGAACGUACCCUGACGUGGGGGAUAACACAUCGAAAGGUGUGCUAAUACCGCAUACGUCCUGAGGGAGAAAGCGGGGGAUCGUAAGACCUCGCGCGUUUGGAGCGGCCGAUGGCGGAUUAGCUAGUUGGUGGGGUAAAGGCCUACCAAGGCGACGAUCCGUAGCUGGUCUGAGAGGACGACCAGCCACACUGGGACUGAGACACGGCCCAGACUCCUACGGGAGGCAGCAGUGGGGAAUUUUGGACAAUGGGCGAAAGCCUGAUCCAGCCAUUCCGCGUGAGUGAAGAAGGCCUUCGGGUUGUAAAGCUCUUUCGGCAGGAACGAAACGGCUCUUUCUAAUACGGAGAGCUAAUGACGGUACCUGAAGAAGAAGCACCGGCUAACUACGUGCCAGCCGCCGCGGUAA